UACAGGGGUCUCGAGCGUUAGGCGGAAUCACUGGGCUUAAAGCGUGUGUAGGUGGAUGCCUAAGUACCUUGUGAAAUCUCAUAGCUUAACUAUGAAACUGCCAUUGAUACUGCGGGUCUUGAGUAAGGUAGAGGUAGCUGGAAUAAGUAGUGUAGCGGUGAAAUGCAUAGAUAUUACUUAGAACACCAAUUGCGAAGGCAGGUUACCAUGUCUUAACUGACGCUGAUGGACGAAAGCGUGGGGAGCGAACAGG
rnacentral:rRNA from 1 species